rnacentral:antisense_RNA from 1 species
CAUUUAUGCACCUAUAUGCAGGUUACAUCAUCAUAGAUGCACACACUUA